rnacentral:sRNA from 1 species
GCCGAGGGCCUGCUGCAGGAGGCGCUAGACAAGGAUAGUGGCUACCCGGAGACGCUGGUCAACCUCAUCGUCCUGUCCCAGCACCUGGGCAAGCCCCCUGAGGUCAGAGCCACCGUGGGGUCCCCAUGUUUGGCUCACCUGCCUCCCUGCCUCCCCUGCAGGUGACAAACCGAUACCUGUCCCAGCUGAAGGACGCCCACAGGUCCCAUCCCUUCAUCAAGGAGUACCAGGCCAAGGAGAACGACUUUGACAGGCUGGUGCUACAGUACGCUCCCAGCGCCUGAGGCUGGCCCGGAGCUGUCAGGACCAUGAAGCCAGGACAGAGGCCAGGAGCCCUGCAGCCCUCCCCACCCAGCAUCCACCCUGCAUCCCCUCUGGGGGCAGGAGCCCACCCCCAGCACCCCCAUCUGUUAAUAAAUAUCUCAACUCCA